UACGAAGGGGGCUAGCGUUGCUCGGAAUCACUGGGCGUAAAGGGCGCGUAGGCGGCGUUUUUAAGUCGGGGGUGAAAGCCUGUGGCUCAACCACAGAAUGGCCUUCGAUACUGGGACGCUUGAGUAUGGUAGAGGUUGGUGGAACUGCGAGUGUAGAGGUGAAAUUCGUAGAUAUUCGCAAGAACACCGGUGGCGAAGGCGGCCAACUGGACCAUUACUGACGCUGAGGCGCGAAAAGCGUGGGGAGCGAACAG
rnacentral:rRNA from 1 species